CGACGCACCGCGGCGCGUCAGCAUGCUGUUUGCAGCCUGUCUUGACACCGCAGCGAGGAGACGAUGAUAACACAGCCGAGCAAGGUGCAAUGAGAGAGGCUGACUCGCUCACAUUUUUCCCCUCACAGCUACUUAAGCGAGUGAUGCCCGCAUCUGAGGAGUGACGCCAUGGCCGUCAAAGCUGUUCACUGCACCCUGAGCCAAAAUGGCAUCGAGCACCAGAUGUGCCCUGACGAUAUGGAAUCGCAGCUUGAUGAAGAGGAGGAGUCGGUCGAUGGCCUGCCAGUGCUGCUUGAUGACGACAGUCCAAGUUACCCCGACAUCAGCCCCACCAUAUUCCAUGGCCGUCGGCCGCCACAUCGCUCAGUCUCCGAGUCUGAGCUCACGCGGCCGGGAUAUGUCAAAUUGUCCAAACCAGUGGCUCUGUGGACCCAACAGGACGUGUGCAAAUGGCUGAAGAAACACUGUCCGAAUCAGCAUCAGAUCUACAGCGACUCCUUCAAACAACACGAUAUCACAGGGCGGGCUCUGAUGAGAUUGACUGACAGGAAACUGGAGAGAAUGGGCAUCAUGCAGGAGGCCGAGAGGCAGAACAUCCUGCAGCAGGUCCUGCAGCUACGGGUCCGGGAGGAAGUGAGGACGCUUCAACUUCUCACACAAGCGAACGCACGCGCACCAUCUUCUCCAAGUUCAAGAAACCGAGGAGGUCGGAUCGUCUGGCCAGCGUUUACCAGAGGCACAGGAGAGGACAGCCACAACCAACCGGACUGAUGAUAAUAAUCCUGCAGUCGAAGUUGAUGGGACACAUGGAACACAUGAAUUGCAAGAACCUGCCCAGGGUUGCAUGAAGGCUAACCUUUCUAAACAUGCAACUGCAUUUCUUCUCCAGGCCAGAGAAACCCAGAGACUGACACAGAGAGCUGUUAACCAGAUGGUGAGUGGAGUCCAGCAAUAUCAAACAGCAUUAUUGGAGCACCUGAGUCAUCAAAUGAAGAGCAUCUUUGAGAGUCAUUCUGGAGACCUGGAUCAACUAAAGAGUCAUGCAAUGAGGGUAUUUGACCCUUUUAGCCAGAUUGCUACAACACAUUUGCAGGACAAGACCAUCAAAGAGCUGUUACAUCCAGUUGAACCAGAAAUUGUUACUGCAAAACAAACAGUGUCUUAUGUGAAGCGUGGAGAUUCCAGAGUUCUUGCCAUAAAAAAACAUUGUUUUUACUACAUACCAUUAGUUAAAAGUUUGGAGCAGCUGCUUUCACAUCCUAAAAUUCUUGAAAUGAUCAAUGAGGGGCCAGAGUCCUGCAAGGAUGGGUUUUUUUAUGAGUUCAUUGAUGGGGACAUUUUUAAGUCACACCCUCUGUUUUUGAAAGUUCCCACAGCAUUGCAGUUAAUUUUAUAUACAGAUGAAAUUGAGCUUUGCAAUCCUCUUGGUUCUCGUGCAAACAAAAACAAAUUGUUAUUGAUUUAUUACACUUUAGGUAACAUCAACCCUAAAUACAGAUCAAGACUCGCUGCCAUUCGUCUGCUUGCCAUGGUAAAAUCUAAAGAUCUUUCCUGUAUUGAUAAAAUACUUGAGAGGAUUAACCAUGAUUUCAUCGAGCUGUAUAAUGGUGUUCGGGUUGACACUUCAAAUGGCGAGAGGACAAUUUAUGGGGCACUUUUGUCUGUGUGCGGAGACACUCUUGCUCAACAUGAAGUGGCUGGAUUUAAGGAAGGAGUUGGGUUUGCCUACAGUAAAUGUAGGCACUGUGAAUGCAACUUCAAAGAUAUUCAAAAUAAAUUUAAUGACGAUUUGUUUGUGAAAAGGACAAUGGCAAGACAUAACAGGCAAUGCAGUGACAUUGAAAAAGCAAGUACUGAUUUCCUAAGAGAACAUCUAAAAACAACAUUUGGUAUAAACAGGAGAAGUAAAUUAACAGAAUUUCCCCACUUUGAUAUCAUUAAUCAAACACCACAGGACAUCAUGCAUGUUAUUCUCGAAGGUGUUGCCGCAUAUGAAAUCAAAUGUGUUUUGAAGCAUCUUGUACUUUCCGGACAUAUGGAUUUAGACACAUUCAAUAGUGGAAUUAUUGGUUUCCCUUACUCUCCUGUAGAUAUGAGGGACAAGCCUUGUCCCAUAUCUGUUACUACACUUUCAUCAAAUGACAAUAAACUUAAACAAUCAGCGGGGCAGAUGCUGGUUAUGUUAAAGAUUCUGCCAUUUCUCAUUGACACAACUGGAGAAAAUGCUCACACACAAUUGCUACUUAAGUUGUUGGAGAUAGUUAAAAUUCUGUUUUCACCUAUUAUUGCACUCGCAACUCUUCCUAGGCUGAAGCUUUUAAUUGAGCAGCAUUUAAGACAUUUCAAACAGCUGUUUCCAGAUUUAAAUAUUAUACCUAAACAACAUUACCUGCUGCAUCUCCCUCCCAGAUUAAAGCACUUGGUCCUACUGUGAGGCAUAUGUGUAUGCGUUUUGAGUCAAAGCAAUGCUUUUUCACGCAGUGGGCUAUAAAAAGUAGUUUUAAGAAUAUUUGUAAAUCUCUUGUGAGGCACAACCAACUGUAUGAAUGUAGUCAGAAUGUGCAUGACAAACAUCCUAUUUUUUGUAAUGACAUUGAAAUAGGCCCAACAUCUGAGGUGAAAAAUGUUCACUACAUAGAAGGAAAGAUCAAACAAUUCUUAGGAAUAGAGCAAGUUGAACAUGUAGUGUGUGCCCAGUGGAUUGCUCAAUAUGGAAAUAAGCAUACAUGUGGAAAAUCUUUGGUUAUUUCUAAUAUUUUCAAUAAUACCCCAGAGUUUGCAGUUGUGAAAAACAUCUUUAUUGUAAAUGAAUCAGUGUUUUGUUUUGAAUGUCAACCUCUCUCUACAAUUGGUUGGAAUGAACAGUAUUUAUCCUAUGAGGUAGAGAUUCCUCACCUUGCACAAGCCAAUAUUUUUUUGAAUUCUGAAAACUGUGGAUUUUACACCAUACUAUUAUGUUAACUUUAAUAAUGGCAUAUUCAUUCCAGUGAAGUAUGAUCUCACCGACAUCAUGGCAUGUCACUCUUAAUAUGCAAUCCAUCUACAGGGACGGCGUGGCGCAGUGGGAGAGUGGCCGUGCGCAACCCGAGGGUCCCUGGUUCAAAUCCCACCUAGUACCAACCUCGUCACGUCCGUUGUGUCCUGAGCAAGACACUUCACCCUUGCUCCUGAUGGGUGCUGGUUAGCGCCUUGCAUGGCAGCUCCCUCCAUCAGUGUGUGAAUGUGUGUGUGAAUGGGUAAAUGUGGAAGUAGUGUCAAAGCGCUUUGAGUACCUUGAAGGUAGAAAAGCGCUAUACAAGUACAACCCAUUUAUUUAUUUAUUUACUGUUGCCAUAAUGCAUGAUGCUGCAAUUGUGACGCUUUUGACCUGCAAAUUCAAUAAAGCUGUGUUGUCUCAAUUCAA